rnacentral:misc_RNA from 1 species
CUCAGAGAAUUUUUCUCUCAGAAAGGGGAAGUCACUGAUGCCAAGCUCAUGCGUACUUCAGAUGGGAAGAGUAGGCAGUUCGGAUUUGUAGGAUUUCGAACUGAGCAAGAGGCUGAGGAAGCUAUCAAGUAUUUUGACAAGUCUUUCAUGGAUAGUAGUCGCAUUAUUUGUGAGAUUGCUAGGAAAAUUGGGGAUCCAAAUAUCCCUCGUCCAUGGAGCAGGCACACUUUGAAGAAACAAGAGAUAUUGACAAAUGAAGAUGAGAAUGCAAAAGUAAACAAAAGUUCCAAGUCUGCAGGUUUAAAAGGCGACAAAAAGAAUAGUAAACAGGAGAGUAAGGAUGACGAUCCUCAGCUUCAAGAGUUCCUUGAAGUUAUGCAGCCUCGGAGUAAGUCAAAGUUGUGGGCAAAUGAUGCAUUAACAGCUCCGUCUCUUGCCCGAAGUAAAAAGGACGGUGAUAAACAAUACCUGAAAAAAGAAACUAGCCAGGAAAAAGUGGAUACUGAUGACUCUGAG